UGCUGAAACGUUUGAGACGUGUAAGAGCAGACAGUUGACUUCUUGGUUAACUUCAACAGACCGUGAGACGAUGGCUGGAAUGGUUGGAUAGGGUGAGACAAAAGACGCUAAUAAGGGAACGCAGGAUCUUUGUAACAAGGUGAAGAGCCAAGUGAUGGAACAAACAGGCCAUACUUUCCACAAUACAAAGCAGUGAAAUACAGGUGACUUAGGGUAUUGCUGGAGCAGAAAACAUCCUCUAAAGGUAAAUAAUAUUGUGAUAUUUGAAAAAAAACUUUGACUGCCACAGGUGUGUGUUUGACAUUCAUCUGCAUGUCAUUAAAAUUCUGCCUCCCAACGCGUCGCCAACACUGAGAGGUAUGCAGCAGAACAGAACCAAAGACGACGCCCUCGAACCUUUUCCUAAACCUCCAGCCACAGCAGUGAAAGUCUCAUAGGCUCAAAUAUCUCAUAAUAAAAUGCUCUGCUUGUUCAUUCUGAAAUGAUUUGACUUUGACUUUGAAUGCAUUAAGACUCAGAGAUAAAAGACAUUUGGUGUUGGGAAGCAGCAAAUUGAAUUCAUUACCUUGUAAAGACAUAAUAAACUCGAGAUCAUUAAAAA